rnacentral:lncRNA from 1 species
CUCUUCUCACUUUCUCUUCUUCCUCUCUCCUCUUCUUCUUCACACUCUCCUCUUCUUCUUCACACUCUCCUCUUCUUCUCACACUCCUCUUCUUCUCUCCUCUCCUCUUCUUCUCUCUAUCCUCUUCUUCAUCUCUCCUCUUCUUCUUCACACUCUCUCCUCUUCUUCACACUCUCUCCUCUUCUUCUCACACUCUCCUCUUCUUCUGUCUCUCCUCUUCUUCUCUCCUCUUCUUCUCUCUCUCCUCUUCUUCAUCUCACUCUCUCCUCUUCCUCCUUUCUCCUCACUCUCUCCUCUUCUUCUCACGCUCUCUUCCUUUCACUCUCUCCUCUUCUCAGUCUCUUCUCCUUGCUCUCUCCUCUUCUUCUCACUCUCUCUUCUUCCUCCUCUCUCUUCUUCUCACUUUCUCUUCUUCCUCCUCUUCUUCUUCUCACUCUCUCCUCUUCUUCUCAGUCUUGUCUCUUCUCCUUGCUCUCUCUUCUUCUCACUCCUCUUCCUCCUCUCUCCUCUUCUUCUUCUAACUCCUUCUUCUUCUCCCUUUCUCCUCUUCUUCUUCUUCUCACUUUCUCCUCUUCCUCUUCUUCUUCUCACUUUCUCCUCUUCCUCUUCUUCUUCUCACUUUCUCCUCUUCCUCUUCUUCCUCUCACUCUCUCCUCUUCUUCUCUUUACUCUUCUUCUCUCCUUCUCACUCUCCUUUUCUUCUCACUCCUCUUCCUCCUCUCUUCUCUGCUUCCUCUUCUCACUCUCUCCUCUUCUCACUUUCUCCUCUUCCUCCUCUCUCCUCUUCUUCUUCUCACUCUCUCCUCUUCUUCUUCUCAGUCUCUUCAUCUCUCUCUCUCCUUUUCUUCUCACUCCUCUUCCUCCUCUCUCUUCUUCUCAUUCUCUCCUCUUCCUCCUCUCUCUUCUUCUUCUCACUCUCUCCUCUCCUCUUUUUCUCACACUCUCCUCCUCUUCUCACUCUCUCCUUCACACACUCUCUUCAUCUCUCGCUCCUUCUCACUCUCUCCUCUUCCUCUUCUCUCUUCUUCUCACUUUCUCCUCUUCCUCAUCUCUCCUCUUCUUCCUUCUCUGUCCUCCUCUUGUUCUCAUUUUCUCCACUUCCUCCUCUCUCCUCUUCUUCACUCACUCUCUCCUCUUCUUCUCACUCUCUCCUUUUCCUCCUCUCUCUUCUUCUUCUCAGUCUCUCAUCUUCUUCUCACACUCUCUUCAUCAUAUCUCUCUCACCUUUUUUUUUCACUCUCCUCUUCCUCCUCUCUCCUCCUCUUUUCUCACUUUCUCCUCUUCCUCCUCUGUCCUUCUCUUCUCACUUGCUUCUCUUCCUCCUCUCUCCUUCUCACUCUCUCCUCUUCUUCCUCUCACUUACUCCUCUUCCUCCUCUCUUCUUCUUAUCACUCUCUCUUCUUCUACUCACACUCUCUUCUUUCUCUUGCUCUCUCCUUCUCAGUCUCUUCUCCUCACUCUUCUUCUCACACUCUCAUCUUGAUCACUCUCUCCUUUUCUUCUCACUCUCUCCUUUUCUUCUCACUCCUCUUCCUCCUCUCUUCUUCCUCUCAGUCUCUCUUCUUCUCACACUCUCUUCUUCAUCUCUCUAAUUUUCUUCUCACUCUCUCCUUUUCUUCAUCUCACUCCUUUUCUUCAUCUCACUCCUUUUCUUCUCACUCUCUCCUCUUCUUCCUCUUAUUUACUCCUCUUCGUCCUCUCUCUUCUUCUCACUCUCUCCUCUCCUCACACUCUCUUCUUCAUAUCUCUCUCCUUUUCUCACUCUCUCCUCUUUGUCCUCUGUCCUUCUCUUCUUCCACUUUCUCCUCUUCUUCUUCUCUCUCUCUCUUCUUCUUCUCACUCUCUCCCCCUCUUUCUCUUUUUUUCUUCCUUUCUAAACUUAGAAUAAAAACACAGCAGUAGAAGUUACCAUGCUCCUAGGAAUUAAAAAAAAAAAAACAAACAACCUUUAAAAAUAAAAGUUUCUACUCCCUGGGAAUAUAAAAAUAA